UACGAAGGGUGCAAACGUUGCUCGGAAUCAUUGGGCGUAAAGCGCACGUAGGCGGCUUCAAAAGUCGGAUGUGAAAUCCCGUGGCUCAACCAUGGACGUGCAUUCGAAACUGCGAAGCUUGAGUAUGGAAGAGGGUCGCGGAAUUCCCGGUGUAGAGGUGAAAUUCGUAGAUAUCGGGAGGAACACCAGUGGCGAAGGCGGCGACCUGGGCCAAUACUGACGCUGAGGUGCGAAAGCGUGGGGAGCAAACAGG
rnacentral:rRNA from 1 species